rnacentral:lncRNA from 1 species
UGGUUCAAGGCAGGAUCCCAAAUUUUUAGUGAGGGUGGGCUUGACUACUUGGGUAACCCAAGUCUAGUCCAUGCACAAAGCAUCCUUGCUAUAUGGGCUGUCCAAGUUAUCUUAAUGGGUGCUGUUGAGGGUUACCGUAUUGCUGGUGGACCUCUCGGUGAGGUGGUUGACCCACUCUACCCAGGUGGCAGCUUUGACCCCUUGGGCCUUGCCGAAGAUCCCGAGGCUUUUGCAGAGUUGAAGGUGAAAGAACUAAAAAAUGGUAGGUUAGCUAUGUUCUCUAUGUUUGGAUUUUUCGUUCAAGCCAUUGUGACUGGAAAGGGACCUAUCGAGAACCUCGCCGACCACCUUGCUGACCCGGUUAACAACAAUGCUUGGGCCUACGCCACAAACUUUGCCCCCGGAAAAUAAGCAAUAACUACACCAAAUGAGAAGUGAAUGACUUGAAUAUCGAAGUUUGAAUUUGUUAGUGUGUUAUAUUUUGUAAAACGCAUGGCAUGUUACAUCUUUUUUUCCCCUAAGUUUGUACAUAUUAAGUGAAUGAAAUGAAUGGUUUUACCGAAACAAGGGAGAGUGAAAUGACUGUGAAUGGUAUCAAGCAAUCUAUUACCAGAACAUCAAGUGUAACGAUGUCCUUUCAAAAAAAAAUAAAAAAAAAUCAAGUGUAACGAUGUUUUAAACCAGUGAAGUUUUUAUCAUAUUAACUUUUCAUAUUUUAUAAUUAUAUUUUAUUUUAAAGAGGAGCCUACACAACGGUAAAAGUUGAUUAAAAAUGUCACGAGUUCAAGUUCUGAAAAUAGUCUCUUGUGUAAAAAUAGAAUAAGACUGUGUGCAAUACACCAGAUGGUGAGACCCUUUCUCGGACUCUACGUAUGUGGUUGCCUUGUGCACCAGACUGUUUCUUUGUUUGCUACAAUUAUAUUUUAUUUUGUUAACCUUUUACAUGCCAUAUAUCUUUAGCUCAAUAUGAGAUCUUGUAAUGCCGUUUGAGCUGAAUUAUGGUUUCCCCGUAUGGAAAUCACCCAAGAUCUAAAUCAUAGCAAGUAGGAAUUUGAGAUGGACUCCAAAGUUGAUAUUGAUAUGGUUAAUUUAAAUCCUACCGAAUUGCUUUUAUUCAACAUUUCCUACAUGAGAUCGUUGCUAUUCUGAACCUCCCUUCAAGGAGAAGUUUCAUCUGUUAUAUUUAUAAAGAAACAAAUAAAUAUGUAGAUCUCCUAUGCUAAUAAGAGGCACACUACAAGAGUUGGUGUACAUUAUGUUUUUCUCAUGCUCAGAUUUUGAUGUAGACAAGUUGGCAGCGCGAAUCGAAGACGAAGUGGCGCGUAAGAAAGGUUUAGUCGGAUUGGUGCUGAUUUAGCAUCCGACGUCGGAAUAACAUGAAUUAAACCUUUUUGAAAAGCCCCGGACCUCACGAGCAAUACUCAUCGCUUUGUCAUGAUGUAGGAGUUAAUUUAAUCAUUCGAGGUCGUCUGAAGGCCCGAAAACCGCGUUUUAAUACUUCAGCAUAUUCUAGAACUUUAUAUUUUAUUUCGUUUUGUUAUUUUUCAGCAUAUACGGGUUUGUUAUUUCAUUUAGUAUUUAAACAGAACUUAUGUAGCCAAAGAGGCACUUUUCAUUCAAUAAAAAUAUUCGAGACUUUUCUCUCAAUUCUGGUGGAUUUUGGAAACUCUUAUUUGAUAGGUUUAUCGCUUACAACCUGUUGUUAUCUUUUAAGUUUAGCGUUUGCUAACCCUUGCUUCCAUUUUGCGUCAGAUUUUUGUUACUAUAUGAUGCCAAAGGUGGCUGUAUCUCUAAUAAGCUUUCGUAGUUUAAUUUCCUUUCCUAUCAAAUAAUAAAAAAUGUAACGAUCACCAAUAAACCAUGAAUGAAUAGAGCAAUUCUUGCUUGGGCACAACCACAAAUAUAAAUAAUUUAGACACACACAUAAAAAAAAACAGACACCCACACACACGCGCAUAUAUAUAUAUCAUUGAUUAUUUUCAAAAAUAUAUUAUUUUAUUGAUUUUUCUUUUAUAUGUUUUCACUUAUGUGUGUCCAAAUCAAAAUGAUAUGGGGUUAUGAUGGGUAUUUGUAUUGGCUGCAUUAUUGCUAAUACAAAUAUCCAUGUUUGUGAUGUUCGAUACUAUGUUCCAAUAUGUAUAUUAAUAAUUCUAAUAAUAUGCAAUAAAAGUAAUGUAUAUUAAAAAAUUACAUUGUACUAAUAUGUAUAUUCUAUGAUUGUUUCAUCUCCUAUUUGAUUACACAACCCAAUUAUCACAAUCUUCAUAGCAGAAAAGACAGUUUAAGUGAAUUGAGUACCAGAAGCUCGUCAUGAUCAAGAGAGCGUUGAGUGUACAUGCAAAUUAUCCACCGACAAGGUUCUUACAUUGGCAACAUAAGUUAAACUUAGGUUCUUAUGGUUUGUGAAUCAACUCCUAGACCAAUCGACAUCGACAAUUUUUUUAGUCGUUUAGAAUCAUAUAAAUUUUCAAUUUAAUUUGAUUAGUAAAAAAUAAAUAAUUGUAUGUAUAAGCAAUGACAUAUUAUUAUUUAAAUUUUAAAGCAUGCUUACCAAAUAAAUAUAAAAAAGAUCAUGCAUAUUUGUAACAACUUUCCAAAGAUACAAUCAAAUGAUGUGUUAGUCUACUGGAUAUAUUACUUUUAAGGGUUAAAUAUGUUUUUAGUCUCUAUAAAUAUACCAACUUUUCCUUUUAGUCAUUCUAAAAUUUUCGUUCAACUUUUAGUCCCUAUAAAAUUUUCAAUCACUACUUAUAGUCCCUAUUUUUAAAUUAAUUUUAGUAUUUUUUAAUGAAAUUGUGCAGAAAUGUGUAGAAUAUUGUAAAAAUAUUUCCCAAAAAAAUUAGAAUUUUUUAACGAAACAUAAAUUUAAUAUGAAUUUUUAACCAUCAAAAAUAUAAAAAUUCAUAAUAAAUUCAUGUUUUGUUGAAAAAUUCUAAAUUUUUUUAGGAGAGAUACUUAAAAUAUUAUGAAUUUUUCUGCAAACUUUUAUUCAAAAAUGUGAAUUCUACAUAUGAAUUUACUUUAAAAGAGGGACCACAAGUGAAGAUGGAAAAUUUUUGGAGGACUAAAAGUUGAAGGAAAAUUUUAGAGGGACUAAAACGAAAAGUUGGUAUAUUUAUAGGGACCAAAAACAUAUUUAACCUUACUUUUAAUAAUGACAUGGGGGAUCCCUUUCAUUUUUGUUCUAAUAAUAGUAACAAUAAUAUGUUAUAAUAGCAGAAAAAACAAAAACAAAGUAACAUUGCACCACGUUUUGACGGUAGAUUGAAAAUGCAGGUUCAAAGAGAAAUAUUGAGAAAUCACUUGAACCCCCUCACACAAGAGUGGCUUCGCCACUGAUCACAGUGGCUGUGAUUGGUUGUAGGAUAGUGAGAUGAGAUCUUAGAUCUAGAAGUUCUUAGGUUGAAAUCAAUACGGGUAGGUCCUAGGUCUUAAGUGUAAACGAGGAUUUUGCUGAGAGCUUUAGAAUAAGAACUACACUAGUGGAUUACUUUCCUAACUUGGUAGCCCCAGAUGUAGGUGAGUUGUGCCGAACUGAGUUAACAAACUCUUCUUUACUUUCUUGUCUUUUAUUUUGCUGUUUUGUUUAUGUUUACUUCUAGCACGAUGUUGGAACAUUAAACGGAACAUGUGCUUUCUGUGCAUCUCGAGUUGAAACUUCACAUAGAACAACUUCUAACUGACACGCUAAAUAUUCAGCAUCCGUUAUAUUUGCCGGGAAUUUCAAGUUAUGACCAAACAAGUCUUACUCGAAUGAAUAAGGAUCACACCAAUCAGAAAAAUAAUAUAAUAAAGACAAACAACAAUUAAGACAAAAAAAAGACAAACAACAAUAUCUUAAUAAAAUUAGAUGUUGAUAUUAUGCUAUUUGAAGGACGAGUUUGAACUUUAUUUUAGAAAAUGUGGAAGGUCCAGUAAAUAAAUAUAUCAUGAAAGGUGGAUAUAAAAUAUCUCUGUGAGCUUGAUUCUCUUGGUAGUGAUAUUAUAUAUUAUAUGCAGAGUCAUCGAACCUCGGACACCCUGGUCACUUCUCCACAUUUAAAAUGUAUGAGCUCCGGUCACUAUACUAUUUGACAAAAAAAAAUAAUGCUUGAAAAAUUUAUUAGAAUGUUUACCACUUCAGCCCACAUUAAGUUCAAUCUAGUUAACCAAAAAAAUAUAAAUAUUCUUGAAGCAUGUUAAAAUCAUGUGAUACAAAUCAAUUUGAUUAUAUCAAGAUGAUGUUGAGAUAAUUUAUAUUAACACGACUCGCCUAUUAGCAAAAAUAUUUUGGUUUCGAUUUAUACAAUCGUCCAUUUGAGAGAUGGUUCGACUCUCAAGACAAAAAGUAAGAUAGCUUGCAACGAACUUGGUAAGUAGUCAUGUAGCGCUUUCAAAUGCGGGUGGUAUCCAUUGGAGAGCCAAAUACUUUUGUUAUAGUAACAUCACUGCGGAUUUUAUUAGUCAUAUACAUGGAUUUAAUUAUUUAUCUUGUUAUUUUUAAACAUAUAAUAAGAUCAGUUUAUUUAAAUUUAUUUCUUUAUCUCAUUAUUUUCAUUUUUAUUUUACAAGACAUAUUUCACAAUGCACUAAAGCAAAAUCUCAAUAUACUUUUUCACAUUGCAUGCAUUGCAACUAAAUUUUUGCACAUGAUAAAAAAAUAGAGUGAAACUACUUGAUUAGUUAGCUAAAACAAGAGAGCAUCUAUUGAAUGUUUUAUUUUGCAUUUCUUCCCACAUCCUUUUGUGUCCAUUUUGCAUUGCUUCCAAAAAUAAACGGUAAAAUAUGGUAUAAUGACAUAAUUUUAGGAUAAAUGUUUUUUUAUCUAUUGAGCCAAAGAAAAAAGAAAUAUUCUUUGUCCUUUUGAUGCAACACAAAUUAACUAGCAAUGGUACCAAUAUGCACUAUGGUCCCUCUUCUUCAACUCAUGAUUUUAUACCGUUAUGUAUGAAUUUGUACAUUAUUGAUUAGCCUAUCCAGAAAUCUAAUUUGACAAAUUUUAUUGGAUGGAAGACGUAUUUAAUGAUAUUAUCAUUACAUACUUUGGAUAUUUGAUAUAUUUUAUAAUGAAAGAAAAUAAUAUCUUAAAGAUAUGUGGUUUGAGAAAUAAAGGAAAUACUACAAACCAAUAGAAACUUAGAUAUGGAUUUCACAAGAUAUAGACCUUUAGUUUUACUCGAUGAUAACCAAAUAUAAAUAGCCAUAUAACCAAAUUUGAUAACCAUUCUCAACAUUGCCAAUUGAGCUUCAUUACUUUACUUAGUAAGCAAAAAAAUACCACAAUGGCUGCUUCAACAAUGUCCCUCUCUUCUUCAUCAUUUGUCGGGAAGGCAAUCAAACUUUCCCCAUCCACUCAAGACAUUGGGGUGGGAAGAGUCACAAUGAGGAAAACAACCACCAAGAAGUCCGUUCCGUCUGGAAGCCCAUGGUACGGUCCAGACCGUGUGAAGUACUUGGGCCCAUUCUCCGGUGAAGCCCCAUCCUACCUCACAGGUGAAUUCCCUGGUGACUACGGUUGGGACACUGCUGGACUUUCUGCUGACCCAGAGACAUUUGCCAAGAACCGUGAACUCGAGGUCAUCCACAGUAGAUGGGCUAUGUUGGGUGCCUUGGGAUGUGUCUUCCCUGAGCUCUUAUCUCGCAAUGGUGUACAAUUCGGUGAGGCCGUGUGGUUCAAGGCAGGAUCCCAAAUCUUUAGUGAGGGUGGACUUGACUACUUGGGUAACCCAAGUCUAGUCCAUGCACAAAGCAUCCUUGCUAUAUGGGCAGUCCAAGUUAUCUUAAUGGGCGCCGUGGAGGGUUACCGUAUUGCUGGUGGACCUCUAGGCGAGGUAGUCGAUCCACUCUACCCAGGUGGCAGCUUUGACCCCUUGGGCCUUGCCGAAGAUCCCGAGGCUUUUGCAGAGUUGAAGGUGAAAGAACUAAAAAAUGGUAGGUUAGCUAUGUUCUCUAUGUUUGGAUUCUUCGUUCAGGCCAUUGUCACCGGAAAGGGACCUAUUGAGAACCUCGCUGACCACCUUGCUGAUCCAGUUAACAACAAUGCUUGGGCCUAUGCCACAAACUUUGCCCCUGGAAAAUAAGCAAUAACUACACCAAAUGAGAAGUAGUGAAUGACUUGAAUAUCAAACUUUGAAUUUGUUAUUGUGUUAUAUGUUGAAAAACGUAUGGCGCAUUACAUCUUUUUUUCUUCUUCCUAAGUUUGUACAAAUUAUGUGAAUGAAAUGAAUGGUUUUACUAAAACAAGGGAGAGAGCAAUGAAUGUGAACGGUGAUCAUGCAAGCUAUAUAUCAACACUUUGUCAAUUAUAAUGAAUUACCAAACUAUUGUGUAAUUGAUUCUUCAUAAAUUAAUUAAGUGAAUGAAAUGAAUGGUUUCUUUGUUUUUUGUUUCCCUCACGUUGUCUUCUAAAACCACUUAUGAAUUCGAAACUAACAAAAUAAAGUAACAUCAUAUUGUGGGUUCCAUGUUUGGCAAUCACCCAAGAUAUAAAUCUUAAUAAGGUGGAAUUUGCAAUGCACUCCAUAGUUGGUGUUGAUAUAGUGCCAGAGGUGGUUGUACGAUCUAAGCUGAUUUCAUAGUUUAAUUUCUUUUCCUAUAAAAAAAUUGUAAGGAUCACCAGUAACCCAUGAAUGAAUUGAGCAACACUCUUUGGUCACAUACACAAAAAACUUGACCUUCAAUGACAAUAAAGUUUUGUAGGUAAAAGUCCUUAUACCGUAGGUAUAGCCCACAUACCUAAAACUUUACUUUUAAUGACAGUAAAUUUCUUUAGGUUAAAAUCUUUUUACCGUAUGUAUAGUCCCAAGUACCUAUACCCACAUAUUUUUAAGUUAAAAUUAAGCUCUAUUCCUAUAUCUAAAAUCCUAGGUAAAACAAAAGGUUUUGUUUAACAAGUAAAAUCUGUCACUUUUAGACUAUAGCGACGACCAAAAAUAUGUGGGUUUAAGUACUUGCGGUUAUACCUACGAUAAAAGGACAAUUAACUACGAAAAUUACCGUUACUAAAAUUACUAUCACUUUAGACUUAGUUUAUUUUCUUUUUUCUUUUUUCCCUUAUGUGUGCCCAAAUACAAAUGAUCAGGAUUUCGACCAAACAAGUUUUACUCGAAUGGUUAAGGAUCACCAAUCUUCGAACACAAAAUAUAAUAAUAAAGUCAAACAACAAUAUUUUGAUAUGCUAUUUGAAGGGCGAGUUUGAAUUUUAUGUUAGAAAAUGUGAAAGGUCCAUUAAAAAUGGAAAUCAUGGAAGGUAUCUAUAAAUAAAUGCUUGAAAAAUCUAUUAGAAUGUUCACCGGUUCAACCCAAAUAACUUUUAAUCUAUUUAACAAAAUAAAAUAUAAAUAUUCUUAAAGCGAGUUAAAAUUAGGUGAUACAAAUCUAUUUUAAAAUGUCAAGAUGAUGUUGAGUGAAUUAAUAUUAACUGACUCGCUGACUCGCUUUAAGAAUAUCUCGGUUUUGAUUUAUAAAAUCAUCCAUAUAAGGGAUAGUUCAACUCUUUAGACAAAAAAUAAGAUAGCUUGCAACGAACUUGGUAAUUAGUCUCAUAGCGCAUCCAAAUGUCGUAACUCAUAAGGUCACCAAGAUACAUGCAAAGUUCAUUGGAGAGCCAAAUACUUUUGUGAUAGUGAAUUGGCAAAAAAUUCAAGUCUAAUGUAUCAGUAUAUACUUAUUUUUAAAUCUCAAGAUAAUUUUUCACAUUGCAAAACAAAGAGCGUGGAUUAGAUGGUUAUAGCUUCCAACAUCCUUGUGUGUCUAUUUUGCAUUGCUUCCAAACAUAAACUGUAGAAUAUGGUAUAAUGACAUUUAGUAAAAAAAAUGGUAUAAUGACAUAAAAUUAGGAUAAAUGUGUUUUUAUCCAUGGAGCCAAAAAAGAAAUAUUCUUUGUCCAUUUGAUGCAACACACACCACAAAUUAACUAGCAAUGGGACCAAUAUGUAAUGUGGUCCCUCUUCUACAACAUAUAAUUAUAUACCGUUAUAUGCAUGAAUUUGUACGUUAUUGAUCAUCCUAUCCAGAAAUUACAAUUGGCAAACUCUUAUUGGAUGAAAAAGAUAUUUAAUGAUAUUAUUAUAUAUUAUUGUGGAUAUUUGAUAUGUUUGGGAAAGGAAGAAAAUAAUUUUUAAAGUGAUAUGUGGUUUGAGAAGCAACUGUAAUGCUCAAAACCAAUAGAAAGUUAGAUACAUAGAUUUCAUAAGAUAUGGACAUUUAAUUUAUCUUGUUGAAAACAACAUAUAAAUAACACCAUACCAUAACACAUUCAAUAUAGCCAUCAUCAACAUUGCCAAUAAAGAUAUUUAUUUGUUUACUUAGUAAACACUAAAAUUCUACCAUGGCUGCUUCAACAAUGUCUCUCUCUUCUUCAUCAUUGGUUGGGAAGGCAAUCAAGCUUUCCCCCUCUACUCCAGACCUUGUCAUGGGAAGAAUUACCAUGAGGAAAACAACCACCAAGAAGAAUGUUCCUUCUGGAAGCCCAUGGUACGGUCCAGACCGUGUCAAGUACUUGGGUCCAUUCUCUGGUGAAGCUCCAUCUUACCUUACUGGUGAAUUUCCCGGUGACUAUGGAUGGGACACUGCUGGACUUUCUGCUGAUCCGGAGACCUUCUCUAAAAACCGUGAACUAGAGGUCAUUCACAGUAGGUGGGCUAUGUUGGGAGCCUUGGGAUGUGUCUUCCCUGAGCUCUUGGCUCGCAAUGGUGUUAAAUUCGGUGAGGCCGUGUGGUUCAAGGCAGGAUCUCAAAUCUUUAGUGAGGGUGGACUUGACUACUUGGGAAAUCCAAGUCUAGUCCAUGCACAAAGCAUCCUUGCUAUAUGGGCUGUCCAAGUUAUCUUAAUGGGUGCUGUUGAGGGUUAUCGUAUUGCAGGUGGACCUCUCGGUGAGGUUGUCGACCCACUCUACCCAGGUGGUAGUUUUGACCCAUUAGGCCUAGCUGAUGACCCAGAGGCUUUUGCAGAGUUAAAGGUGAAAGAACUCAAAAAUGGAAGGUUAGCUAUGUUUUCCAUGUUUGGAUUCUUUGUUCAAGCUAUUGUAACCGGAAAAGGACCUAUAGAGAAUCUUGCUGACCACCUUGCUGACCCAGUUAACAACAAUGCAUGGGCCUAUGCCACAAACUUUGCCCCUGGAAAGUGAGCCAAAACUACACCAUACCAAUGAGAAGUGAUUUCUGAAGCAAACAAUGAGAAUUCAUAUGCUUUGAGAAACAUAUGGUGCAUUUAGAUUUUUUUAAUUCUUUCAAGUUUGUACUUUUUAAGAGAGUGAAAUGAAUGUGAUUAUGUGAAUGAUGAUCAUGCAUAUUAUCAACACUGUAGCAGACCUAAUGAAAUGCCAAAGUAUUGUGCAGUUGAUUCUUCCAAAAUUCUAAGUCACUUGUGAUUGCAUCUAUUAUUGUCUGCAUUAUUGAUAAGUAUAAGAAAUCAAUUGUAAUUUUUCAAUCAAAUAAUAGGUGUAUCAAUGUAAAUAUAAAAUAAAAAAAUGUCUAAUUUAGUUUUAGUUUUUGUGUGUGUAGAAUAUAGAGACAGUAAGUGAUUUUAAAAAUGCUAUAACUUUUGCUAAAAACACUGCCAUUCAAUAUAAAAUCUAGAUUUCUUUAAAAAUGAAACAUUUCAAUAUUUUUUUUUUUUACCAUGUUAUAAGUACGAAAGUGAUUAAUCUCUAAAGGUUGUCAAAAUCGGGACUUUACUUCAGGUCGAAAAGGGAAUAGCAAAAUCAGGACUCGUAAAAUCGCAAUCAAAAUCGUAGGAAUUUACUCAACUACUCUUGUAGAAUAGAUAUAAGAAAUUGUAAAAUCGCAAUCAAAAUCGAUGAGUUUUACCAAAACAAAAAUAAUGCUAAAAACAUAGACCAAAACAUAAAUGACUCAGAUUAAAGUCCACAAAAUACUUAAACAUAAAUGACUAAAAAAAUGGAAAAAAUUCUUCAAAACCCUUUAACAUCAUGCAAUUUUGUUUGAAAUCUUAAAAUCGCGAUGGAUUUGAGUCGUUGAAGGUGAAGAAAGUCGCGAAAUUCUGGAUUUUAGAAUUUAAGUCGGAAUUUUGAAAACACCAAAAAUACAUAAGAUAUGUUCUCUCUUUUCAUCCGAAUUUUCUCUAUCGAACUUGUGAGCACUUGUUUAAAGAGUCCAAAAUUCUUACAAUUUGAAUCAAUCCACUACUAGUAAUAUUUGUUUCUUAUACAUAUCAACCAAUUACUUCAUUUUAAGAGAACUUGGUUUACAAUGUGGGAAGGAAUUUCCUAGACACAACAAAUCAUGAGUACAAAGCUUCCCAAUUCUUCUUGAAUAAGUUUUUUGAGCGGUGGAAAACUUAUGUUAAAGACUUGAUAUUUUUCAAAUGCAUGCAUGUUUUGCUCAUAUAAUAAUGUUACAAUUUUCAUAGUUGUUGUAUAUAUAAAGUAGUUUUUCAAAACUUAAAUUUAUAAAAUUUAAUAAAGAUCAACAUUGUGUCAAUAAAAAUUAAAUAUCAAUUACUUUAAAACUAGUCUUGGAAUUAUUUUAGGUCUCAAUUGAUAUUUAGGUUGGCCCUGGCAUCUCUAUUAACCGAUGAUGUGAAUAAUUAAUUGCAUAAUGUGGCCGUGAUUGAAUUCUCUCAAGUGUGAAUUUGAGUAAAGUGUGAUCUCUAAUCAUCCAUAUUUCUAAUAUCUUAAUUUUUCAUGUGUUUCUCUCUAACAAGAUAUCAUACUUGACAUCUUUUGUGAAAAUCACCUAGGAGAGGAUCCAUUUUCAAUGUGACAUUGCAGCUUAAAAAUGUCUGAAAUUAGUUAUGUCUACCACUCAAGAUAUAUAUUCUGUUAUAGUUGAGUCAGUUUAGAACGAGCCGGAUUGGUCAGUUCAAUUGGUUGAACCGAAAACUAAAUUGAAUCGUGCUUCGAUUGCAGUUGGCUCAACCAGUUCAACUGAUCGAUUGAACCAAUUUAACCAUGACUUGAGAGAAUCACAUGGUUGACUUUCAUUUCGGUUUUUAAAUUAUUGAGUUGAAUUUUGGCUGCUGUUAACUAGUAACUCCAUUUAUUUAUUUUUUUACUUAGUUAUAAUAAAAAAAAAAAAUAACUCAGGCAUUACAUAAAAUUUAAAUUAAGUUUUCACAAGACAGUUUAGCAAAGCAAAAUUAUUAGAUAUCCUUAUCAGUAGAAAGUACAAUAGCUAACUACGUACGGACAUGUGUAUUUUGCAGUGAUUACAAUAAAUACAUAAGUAGAAUAAAUUUGUUUUGUUCAUUUGAUGCAAACAGAAGAAACUAUUAAUGGGACCAGUGCACUGUGUGGUCCCUUUUCUGUAAAUCUAUUGAUUAUUAUCCCAUCAAGUAAUCAUAAAUGACAAUUUCUUAUUGGAUGGAACAAGUUUUUCAUGAUAUUCAAUUGUCAUAUUCUGGAUAUUUGAUAUUUUUUGAAAUAAUAAUUCUGAAGAGAAAUAUAUGUGGUUUGAGAUGUAAGUGUAAUGCUCCAAACCAAUAGAAAAUCAAGAUAUAGAUUUCAUAAGAUAUGGACCUCUAGUUUUUCUUGAUGAAUUAACAUAUAAAUAGUACCACUAGGACAUAACAAAGCAUCAUCAAUAACCAUCCUCUUCAUUUUCAAUAGAGCUAUUUAUUUGCAUUUAACUAAGUUGCAAAUAAAAUACUAGAAUGGCUACAUCAACAAUGGCUCUCUCUUCUUCAACAAUGGUUGGGAAGGCAAUCAAGCUUUCCCCUUCCACUCCAGACCUUGUGAUGGGAAGAAUCACCAUGAGGAAAACAACCAACAAGAAGAACGUCCCUUCUGGAAGCCCGUGGUACGGUCCAGAUCGUGUCAAAUACUUGGGUCCAUUCUCUGGUGAAGCUCCAUCUUAUCUCACUGGUGAAUUUCCUGGUGACUAUGGUUGGGACACUGCUGGGCUUUCUGCUGACCCAGAGACAUUUGCCAAGAACCGUGAACUCGAGGUCAUCCACAGUAGAUGGGCUAUGUUAGGAGCUUUGGGAUGUGUCUUCCCCGAGCUCUUGUCUCGCAAUGGUGUGAAAUUCGGCGAGGCUGUGUGGUUCAAGGCAGGAUCUCAAAUCUUUAGUGAGGGAGGACUUGACUACUUGGGUAACCCAAGCCUAGUCCACGCACAAAGUAUCCUUGCUAUAUGGGCUGUCCAAGUUAUCUUAAUGGGAGCUGUUGAGGGUUACCGUAUUGCCGGUGGACCUCUUGGUGAGGUAGUCGACCCACUCUACCCAGGUGGAAGCUUUGACCCAUUGGGCCUCGCUGACGACCCAGAGGCUUUUGCAGAGUUAAAGGUGAAAGAACUUAAGAAUGGUAGGCUAGCUAUGUUCUCUAUGUUUGGAUUCUUCGUUCAGGCCAUUGUAACCGGAAAGGGACCUCUAGAGAACCUUGCCGACCAUAUCACUGACCCCGUCAACAACAACGCUUGGGCCUUUGCCACAAACUUUGUCCCCGGAAAGUGAGCAAAAACUUCAUAAAAACUAUGUUAAGUUACUAGCUCAUACAAGAGUGCGAAUUUCGUGUUAUUAAUUUAGUGAAAUAUUCGGUGCAUUUAGAUCUUUCUUCAAGUUUGUGCCAAUUUAGCGACUGAAAUACAUAUUACAAUGUGCCAAUGCAAUGAAUGUUAAUGAUGAUCAUGCAAGAAAUGUAAAUUAUUCUUCCAAAAUAUUCUUUACUAUCAUAUCACCAGUAAUACAUCGCUUUCUCAAUCACUUUUUCUAUAUAUUUUUUUUUUACUGUUGUCCUCUGCAGGAAAUUAAGACUAUAAGAAAAUGUCUUAAUUAAGGGUUUCUUUUAGGGCCUUCCAAUAAACACAGCAUAAUGCAUUGGUCACUUUGAAUCUUAAAUGAUAGAUUUACAUAAUUUAAGUAAGGUUGGUGGUGCCUAAGAUCAUGUUUAUUACUUCUUCUACUAUAAAGGGUAAUGCUCCACAAUGUGAAAAUUUUAUGAUGUUAGCUUUGAUAAUUCAGAAGUUCUGGUGGAGCAGUACUUUAGUAUCAAUUAUUUUCUCAUUAUUGUUUGCGUCAGUUUGAUAGUUUCCAUUGCAAAGAUUUGAUAUGAAGAACAAGAUGAAUUAUUGUUUUUUGAGAGUAGCAUAUGAACAAAGAAACAUAUACUUAGAAAAGUUAAAUAGAAGAAAGGGAUUAAUAUUAGUAAACAAAAUACACCUCAAAAAAAAUAUUCAUCCGUUAUUCAAAAUAAACACAGGAAAAACAGAAGAUAGAAUUUCUUUUUUUUUCUAUUUUUUACUAUUCAUAAUAGGAGAUGAAACUUGGAGUCACCUCCUAUUAUGAGACGAAUAAAACCAUGUCUGCCAGUCAUGUGCAUUCCCGUGUAUAUUCCCCACAUUUCAACAUGGAUGACAUCAUGUUGUGAAUUCGUUGAGAAAACCACACCAAUAAAAACUUGAUGCGUGGAGCAAAUUAAUACCAAGUAAUCAAAUCAAGCGGGUAGCAAAUAAUCCAAACAAAAGUAAACAGCAAGAGAUAAAAGGAAGAAGAAGAAGAAGAACACAAGAAUUUGUUUACCCAGUUCGGUCUAAUGAUGACCUAGUCUGGGGAGAGAGCAGCUCUCCGUUCCACUAUAAUGAUAUGAGUUUCUUUACAAAGAGAUAUUGAGUUACAAGAAUCAGUCUUCAAACCUAAUUCUACCCAAGUCUCAGCCUACCUAAUUCUACCAAGUCCCAGCCUCUUCCCGUGACCAAGAGACUCAAUCCUAAUAGUGUUUUGUUCAAGGUGAAUCAAAACAAUCCCAACCCUAGUGUUGUUGCAAAGAGAAAUUCUCUAUAAACCCUAGUUUGUAUGUUGGUUUUUAAACCCUGUUUUUCUACACACUUUAUCAUCUGAUACAAGUGAAUUUAUUUUUCUUAAAGUGAAUUUAUUUAGUGAAUUUAAAGUGAAUUUGUUUAAGUAAAUUCACAAGAACUCAAAUCUUUAGUGAUGGAGGGCUUGACUACUUGGGUAACCCAAGCCUAGUCCACGCACAAAGCAUCCUUGCUAUUUGGGUUGUCCUAGCUAUCUUAAUGGGAGCUGUUGAGGGUUACCGUAUUGCCGAUGGACCUCUUGGUGAGGUAGUCGAUCCACUCUACCCCGGUGGAAGCUUUGACCCAUUGGGCCUCGCAGACGACCCAGAGGCUUUUGCAGAGUUAAAGGUUAAAGAACUCAAGAAUGGCAGGUUAGCUAUGUUCUCGAUGUUUGGAUUUUUCGUUCAGGCCAUUGUAACCGAAAAGGGACCACUAGAGAACCUUGCUGACCACAUCGCUGAUCCAGUCAACAGCAACGCUUGGGC